GGCUUUAUAGUCAAUUAUUUAUGAUUUUAGAUUGCAAAUCUAGAGUAGGGUUUAAUAUCCUAAAGCUU
rnacentral:tRNA from 1 species